rnacentral:rRNA from 1 species
UACGAAGGGGGGCUAGCGUUGCUCGGAAUCACUGGGCGUAAAGCGCACGUAGGCGGGUUUUUAAGUCAGAGGUGAAAUCCUGGAGCUCAACUCCAGAACUGCCUUUGAUACUGAAAGUCUUGAGUAUGGGAGAGGUGAGUGGAACUGCGAGUGUAGAGGUGAAAUUCGUAGAUAUUCGCAAGAACACCAGUGGCGAAGGCGGCUCACUGGCCCAUAACUGACGCUGAGGCACGAAAGCGUGGGGAGCAAACAGG